UGAGCAAUCUGCCCUUCUCAUCGGAAUAAGCGUUGGAAACGACGUCUAAUGCCGAAUACGACCUCCUUUCGCAUGAUCGGAGGUGGAAAGCUCCGGCGGAGAAGGAUGAGCUCGCGGCCUAUCAGCUAGUUGGUGUGGGUAAUGGCCCACCAAGGCGACGACGGGUAGCCGGCCUGAGAGGGUGACCCGGCCACACUGGGACUGAGACACGGCCCAGACCUCCGUACGGGAGCCAG
rnacentral:rRNA from 1 species